rnacentral:rRNA from 1 species
UGGGGAAUUUUGGACAAUGGGCGCAAGCCUGAUCCAGCAAUGCCGCGUGCAGGAUGAAGGCCUUCGGGUUGUAAACUGCUUUUGUACGGAACGAAAAAGCUCUCUCUAAUACAGGGGGUGAAUGACGGUACCGUAAGAAUAAGCACCGGCUAACUACGUGCCAGCAGCCGCGGUAAUACGUAGGGUGCAAGCGUUAAUCGGAAUUACUGGGCGUAAAGCGUGCGCAGGCGGUUUUGUAAGACAGAGGUGGAAUCCCCGGGCUCAACCUGGGAACUGCCUUUGUGACUGCAAAGCUGGAGUGCGGCAGAGGGGGAUGGAAUUCCGCGUGUAGCAGUGAAAUGCGUAGAUAUGCGGAGGAACACCGAUGGCGAAGGCAAUCCCCUGGGCCUGCACUGACGCUCAUGCACGAAAGCGUGGGGAGCAAACA